AAUAUCUAACCUCACCUUCCGGUAAGAUUACUUUGUUACGACUUACCUCAACUUAAAUGAGGGUGACGGGCAAUAUGUGCAUAACUUAUAUAAAAAUUCAAAAAAAAUAAACAAGUAAAAUUACUAUUAAAUCCUAUUUAAAAUUAAAUUUUAAUUUAAUUAAACAAAAUUAUUUAAAAUUAAAGUAACCCAUAUUAACUUACUAAUAACUGCACCUUGACCUAAUAUAAUUAUUAAUAAAAUUAAAGAAAAUUUCUUUAAAAAAAUUCCAAAUUAUAGAGAUAUACAAAUAAGUAGUAAGUAAAAAAUAUCGUGGUUUAUCAAUUAAAAUACAGGUUCCCCUAAGAAAUAAAUUACCGCCAAAUUAUUCAAAUUAUAUAGAAAAUAACUAUUUAUGUUUUAGAUUAAAUAAAUAAACCUAUUAAUAAUAGGGUAUCUAAUCCUAGUUUAAAUUAAGGGUUUAAUAAAAAAAAACUAGAAUAUAUUAAAAAAUAAAAAUUUCACUUAAAUAAAAUAUAAUUAAAUUCAUAAAUUUUACAAUUAAAUCUUAAAAAAUUAAUUUAAUUGAAUUGUAUAACCGCGAAUGCUGGCACAAUUUAUUUCCAACCAAAAUGUAUACCUUAAUUUAAAUAUAAAAUUAUAAAAAUAUUACUUACUGACAUUAUAAUUUUUAUUUUAUUAAAUUCAUAUAAAACCUACAAACAAUUAAUUUAUAAAAAUAAAUCAAUUUUUAUUU
rnacentral:rRNA from 1 species